rnacentral:rRNA from 1 species
GAUGAACGCUGGCGGCGUGCCUAAUACAUGCAAGUCGAGCGAAGAGGGGACGGGGGAGUAAAACGUGGAUAACAUCCUAUAAGACUGGGAUAAAUUCGGGAAACCGGAGCCAAACCGGAUACUUAUAGAAGGAUCAGCGCUUCAUUAUGUAGUUGGUAAGGUAACGGCUUACCAGGGCUACGAUGCAUAGCAGACCUGAGAGGGUGAUCGGCCACACUGGACCUGAGACACGGUCCCGACUCCUACGGUAGGCAGCAGGUGGGAAUCUUCCGCAAUGGGCGAGAGCCUGACGGAUCAAUGCCGCGUGGGUGAUGAAGGUCUUCGGAUCGUAAACCUCUUUUAUUCGGGAGUCGUUACCUAAUCACAAAGCCACGGCUAACUACGUGCCAGCAGCCGCGGUAAUAC